rnacentral:rRNA from 2 species
UCAUGCGUGGACGGUAUUUACCAGAAAGUCACGGCUAACUACGUGCCAGCAGCUGCAGUAAUACGUAGGUGGCAAGCGUUAUCCGGAUUUAUUGGGCGUAAAGAGAGUGCAGGCGGUUUUCUAAGUCUGAUGUGAAAGCCUUCGGCUUAACCGGAGAAGUGCAUCGGAAACUGGAUAACUUGAGUGCAGAAGAGGGUAGUGGAACUCCAUGUGUAGCGGUGGAAUGCGUAGAUAUAUGGAAGAACACCAGUGGCGAAGGCGGCUACCUGGUCUGCAACUGACGCUGAGACUCGAAAGCAUGGGUAGCGAACAGGAUUAGAUACCCUGGUAGUCCAUGCCGUAAACGAUGAGUGCUAGGUGUUGGAGGGUUUCCGCCCUUCAGUGCCGGAGCUAACGCAUUAAGCACUCCGCCUGGGGAGUACGACCGCAAGGUUGAAACUCAAAGGAAUUGACGGGGGCCCGCACAAGCGGUGGAGCAUGUGGUUUAAUUCGAAGCUACGCGAAGAACCUUACCAGGUCUUGACAUCUUGCGCCAACCCUAGAGAUAGGGCGUUUCCUUCGGGAACGCAAUGACAGGUGGUGCAUGGUCGUCGUCAGCUCGUGUCGUGAGAUGUUGGGUUAAGUCCCGCAACGAGCGCAACCCUUGUUACUAGUUGCCAGCAUUAAGUUGGGCACUCUAGUGAGACUGCCGGUGACAAACCGGAGGAAGGUGGGGACGACGUCAGAUCAUCAUGCCCCUUAUGACCUGGGCUACACACGUGCUACAAUGGACGGUACAACGAGUCGCGAACUCGCGAGGGCAAGCAAAUCUCUUAAAACCGUUCUCAGUUCGGACUGCAGGCUGCAACUCGCCUGCACGAAGUCGGAAUCGCUAGUAAUCGCGGAUCAGCAUGCCGCGGUGAAUAC